GCCACCGUGGCUUAGGGGUAUAGCGGCGCAUUGGUAAUGCGCAGGUCGCGAGUUCAAUUCUCGCCGGUGGCUCCA
rnacentral:tRNA from 4 species